AAAGAAAGAAAGAAAGAAAGAAAGAAAGAAAGAAAGAAAGAAAGAAAGCAAACAAAGGAAGGAAGGAAGGAAGGAAGGAAGGAAGGAAGGAAGGAAGGAAGGAAGGAAGGAAGGAAAGAGGGCAUUGCUUCAAAUCUGUUGGAGAUAUGUAAUUUAAAAAUCUCAUUGGAUAUUUCUAAUACACUACUAAUGAUACCUUAGAAACUGGCUCAAUGAUAGAGGGAUUUCUAAGCAGUGUAAUUUCUACAUUCGAUGAACAGCUCCAUGAAUAUGCAAUAUAAAGAAUGAUUGCAGCUAACAUUGUUUCUAAUAAGGCUUAUUCCAAUCUCUGGGUUGCUUUUAAUAAUCACAUAGUCAUUCAGAAGAUUUGUUCUCCUGCUCCAUUUUGAAGGCUGUUCUGUGCUUCAUAAAAUCAGUUCAUAUAAAACCACUGAGUUGAUUUUUCAUUUUGCCUUUUCUGGAUACCUAGGGAUACAAUUGCAACUUGUCAUUUAUUCUAUAUGCAUUUUUGAAAGAUAACAUUUUUUUGUAUUUUGGGGCUGUUGUAAAUAAAAUGCUGUAAUUACAUAGCUUAUAAACAACAAACAACUGUCACAUCCCAACCUAGAGGCUGAGAAGGCCAAGUAGAGCCAGCAGAGGUGGGUUCUAGUGUGAGCACACACUUCCUGCCUCACAGAUGAUGGUCUUGCUGUGCUUUCUCCUGUCAGAUGGGCAAAGGAUGUUCUUGGAGGCCUCUUUUAUGAGCACAAUAAGCCAAACCUGAGAGUCAGAGCCCUCAAUGUGAGCCCUUCACACAGGCUCCGCCACCACACACCCCCGUCUUGUGACUAAAUCUCAACAUAAUGGACUGGGAGAGUGGAUGGCACAAGGGUUCUGACUGUCACACCUGGGUGCGUGUCAUUCAAUAAGAGCAAUGAUGACUUGUUCCACCUAGAAAGUGCUCUGAAUAGAGAGGCAUCUCAAUGCAAUUUCUUCACCAUUACUCACUCAUCUUUUUGUGAUAUCACUUUCCUUUAUUAUCCAGAAACAUAAGUGGAGGAGGGAGAGCUACAGGGCAUGGAUCCACAGAAGAGGAAGUAGGAUAUCACUGUGAUAUAUUCUUUGUUUGUUUGUUUGUUUGUUUGUUUGUUUGUUUGAACUGAGUGUCAGAGAUCCUAGCAGGGUUCUACUCUAUGGACUGGAUGCCUCUUCUGUGAGGUCUUGAAUUCAUGGAAGUGAUUAAAAUCUGAUUUGGAUAGAUUAGCAUAUCUCAGAGAUUUCUAAUUAACUGAGAUUCUCUUCCCCUUGUCUUUUUUUCUCCCUCUUUCUUUUCAUUUUCAUUUUCAUUUUUUUUCUUGCCUUGAUUUUUGUUUUUAUUAAGUCAUUUUUUUUCUUUGUUAGGCAGAAUCUCACAUCAUAACCCCAAAUGACCUGUUACUCACCAUGUGGCCCAGCUGUCUUCAAACUCACCAGCCUCCUGCCUUAGCCUUCUAAAUGCUUGGAUUACAGGCAUGACCCACCAUAACUGGCUUUGUUUUAGUUUCAGAGAAGAUGAAACUGAUGUGCGUCAAAAAGUAAACUACCCACAUUUUAACUGGGCACAUUCCUGUCAAUCUGAUGAGAAUCUAUUUCAUACCCUGCUUUAGCUGGUAGUCUGUCAAGGAAAUGAGCUGAACAUGUCUGUGUACAGCUUUUGUGCCAUCCCUGGAUGAGCGAGCUGUCUGCCUCUAUGUUCUCCACAAAAUGGAAUAUAGCUGUACACCCAAGCCAAGUUAUGGAGGCUGGGAAGACCUAGAAUGUGGCAUCACUAUUUGGAAACCAUGCCGAUUACCGACCGAGCUCUCAAUGGAAAAAUGCAGUCGGCGUGAACCACGCACGAACACAGCAGAGAAAGAAGAAAACACACACCACGAGGAACCCUAAUAGGACAAUACAUUAUAAGUCACAGUGCUACGGAGAAACCCAGUAGCCACAUGGAAGCAGAGACCAUGCAUAUGCAUCUACUCCGCAGCUCUGUGAAUGUCAGCAGCUCCCACGGACUGGAGAUCCCGUGAGAUCCCGUGAGAUCUCACCCAUAGCCUCAUGGUACAUCCACUUGGUGUGCUGGGAGAGUCAGGAUGAGGACCUGAGAAGAACAGCAGCUUGAACCUGACUUCAUUUAACAGCCCACUGCCCUCUUGCCAAGAACCCAUCACAGACCUUCCCAGAAGAGAGGGAUGAGCCUCACCUAUGAAUAAGUCCUCAGAAACUCAAAUUUGAUUCUAAUGGAUUGUUUUCUCAGAAAGACUGAGCAUGUCCCCCCACAUCUCUGUCAUUUCCCACAGUAGUAACCUCUGCAGAUGCCACAUAGAAAACAAAACAAAACAAAAAAACAUGAGGUUGGUGGGCAGAUAGGCAGGGUAUAAACAAACAGCCUUGUAACCCAGAAGCUGUGUGAUAUACAGUAAACUUCACAACACUGAAAAGAUGUCCUAUCUGUUAAAAUGGGGUAAUAACAACUACCCGAAUGUUUAGGAAUAGAACUUCAAUAAAUGAUACAUUUUAUAGUACAGCAGACCAUCCUGUAAAGGUUUCAUCCUUCACUGUGGUGAUAAAUAUCCCAAACCACAUUGAAAAGCAUUGCAUCUACAUUUAUCUACACUGUAACUGUACUGUAAAUCAUGGGGGAGGGGAGAAUCAUAAAAACACCACCUGUCACCGUGUCAUUAAAGCAAGUUGGAAGUGAUACUUACAGAAACACAGCAAGAGCACCCCCAGUCACACAGUUCAAUCUCUUAGCAAGCGUUUUCUUUCUAGCCCAGUGGUUCUCAGUUUGGAAUUUUUGGCACUGCCUAGAGAUAGUUUUGUUGUUAAAACUGAGAAAAGAGCCGGGCGUGGUGGCACACGCCUUUAAUCCCAGCACUCAGGAGGCAGAGGCAGG
rnacentral:lncRNA from 1 species